UUGAACGCUGGCGGCAGGCCUAACACAUGCAAGUCGAGCGGUAGCACAGAGAGCUUGCUCUCGGGUGACGAGCGGCGGACGGGUGAGUAAUGUCUGGGAAACUGCCUGAUGGAGGGGGAUAACUACUGGAAACGGUAGCUAAUACCGCAUAACGUCGCAAGACCAAAGUGGGGGACCUUCGGGCCUCAUGCCAUCAGAUGUGCCCAGAUGGGAUUAGCUAGUAGGUGGGGUAACGGCUCACCUAGGCGACGAUCCCUAGCUGGUCUGAGAGGAUGACCAGCCACACUGGAACUGAGACACGGUCCAGACUCCUACGGGAGGCAGCAGUGGGGAAUAUUGCACAAUGGGCGCAAGCCUGAUGCAGCCAUGCCGCGUGUGUGAAGAAGGCCUUCGGGUUGUAAAGCACUUUCAGCGGGGAGGAAGGCGUUAAGGUUAAUAACCUUGGCGAUUGACGUUACCCGCAGAAGAAGCACCGGCUAACUCCGUGCCAGCAGCCGCGGUAAUACGGAGGGUGCAAGCGUUAAUCGGAAUUACUGGGCGUAAAGCGCACGCAGGCGGUCUGUCAAGUCGGAUGUGAAAUCCCCGGGCUCAACCUGGGAACUGCAUUCGAAACUGGCAGGCUAGAGGCUUGUAGAGGGGGGUAGAAUUCCAGGUGUAGCGGUGAAAUGCGUAGAGAUCUGGAGGAAUACCGGUGGCGAAGGCGGCCCCCUGGACAAAGACUGACGCUCAGGUGCGAAAGCGUGGGGAGCAAACAGGAUUAGAUACCCUGGUAGUCCACGCCGUAAACGAUGUCGAUUUGGAGGUUGUGCCCUUGAGGCGUGGCUUCCGGAGCUAACGCGUUAAAUCGACCGCCUGGGGAGUACGGCCGCAAGGUUAAAACUCAAAUGAAUUGACGGGGGCCCGCACAAGCGGUGGAGCAUGUGGUUUAAUUCGAUGCAACGCGAAGAACCUUACCUGGUCUUGACAUCCACAGAACUUAGCAGAGAUGCUUUGGUGCCUUCGGGAACUGUGAGACAGGUGCUGCAUGGCUGUCGUCAGCUCGUGUUGUGAAAUGUUGGGUUAAGUCCCGCAACGAGCGCAACCCUUAUCCUUUGUUGCCAGCGGUUAGGCCGGGAACUCAAAGGAGACUGCCAGUGAUAAACUGGAGGAAGGUGGGGAUGACGUCAAGUCAUCAUGGCCCUUACGACCAGGGCUACACACGUGCUACAAUGGCAUAUACAAAGAGAAGCGACCUCGCGAGAGCAAGCGGACCUCAUAAAGUAUGUCGUAGUCCGGAUUGGAGUCUGCAACUCGACUCCAUGAAGUCGGAAUCGCUAGUAAUCGUAGAUCAGAAUGCUACGGUGAAUACGUUCCCGGGCCUUGUACACACCGCCCGUCACACCAUGGGAGUGGGUUGCAAAAGAAGUAGGUAGCUUAACCUUCGGGAGGGCGCUUACCACUUUGUGAUUCAUGACUGGGGUG
rnacentral:rRNA from 1 species